rnacentral:snoRNA from 1 species
CAUUGAAGUGAUGAUAUCCGAUUCAGUAAAGUUUAUAUGUCGAUCCCAAAAAUCAUCCAGACUACAAUUAUCUGAUCAAUG